rnacentral:lncRNA from 1 species
GAAUAGCUAAUACUUCUAUCACUAGCACAAUCACAGGAGACAAUUAAAGUGUUGGUAUAUGCUUUCCCCUUUUCCCCCACCAUUCUCACAUUUUAAAAAGAAGCUAUGCUACUACUGUCUACAUUGUCCAGGGUAUAUUAUCCUUUCAGCUACAUUUGUCCAGGGUCUGUAGAUAACUAUGUCCUGUGCCCCAUAAGCCUUGAGGCUGCUGGUCCAUUUUGUCCCUCUGAGGCUCUUUUCUUUAGUGAGUUCCUAGGGAGGACUUAGGAUAACAGUAAUUUGAAAGUAGUUUAUUUUCCCAGUAAUCAGAAAUA